rnacentral:lncRNA from 1 species
UAGUUAACUUCCGUGACCUUUAUUUUCAACAGUCAUUUUCAGCUUCCUGCGUCUGCUGUGUUUCCACCUCUGAAUGGGGUGCAAGUGGGGCUGUGGAAUCUGGAGGAGACCAGCUUUAACACGGGAUUUAUCCUGAAGAAAACACUUGCAGAGGAAAAAGAAACACCAUUUGACUCACUGAGGAUUUUAAACUGACAGCACCGUAGAGACGUGUGGGAGAAAAGGGG